UGGGGAAUAUUGGACAAUGGGCGAAAGCCUGAUCCAGCCAUGCCGCGUGUGUGAAGAAGGUCUUCGGAUUGUAAAGCACUUUAAGUUGGGAGGAAGGGUUGUAGAUUAAUACUCUGCAAUUUUGACGUUACCGACAGAAUAAGCACCGGCUAACUCUGUGCCAGCAGCCGCGGUAAUACAGAGGGUGCAAGCGUUAAUCGGAAUUACUGGGCGUAAAGCGCGCGUAGUUGGUUAUUUAAGUUGGAUGUGAAAUCUCCGGGCUCAACCUGGGAACUGCAUUCAAAACUGACUGACUAGAGUAUGGUAGAGGGUGGUGGAAUUUGCUGUGUAGCGGUGAAAUGCGUAGAUAUAGGAAGGAACACCAGUGGCGAAGGCGACCACCUGGACUGAUACUGUCACUGAGGUGCGAAAGCGUGGGGAGCAAACA
rnacentral:rRNA from 1 species